rnacentral:rRNA from 1 species
CCUACGGGAGGCAGCAGUUAGGAAUUUUGGGCAAUGGGGGAAACCCUGACGCAGCAACGCCGCGUGAGUGAUGAAGGCCUUCGGGUCGUAAAGCUCUGUCAGAGGGGAAGAAAUGCAGGUGGUGAACAACCAUUCUGUUUGACGGUACCCUCAAAGGAAGCACCGGCUAACUCCGUGCCAGCAGCCGCGGUAAUACGGAGGGUGCGAGCGUUGUUCGGAAUUAUUGGGCGUAAAGCGCGUGUAGGCGGUUUGUUAAGUCUGAGGUAAAAGCCCCGGGCUCAACCGGGGAAGUGCAUUGGAUACUGGCAGGCUUGAGUACGGGAGAGGAGAGUGGAAUUCCCAGUGUAGGAGUGAAAUCCGUAGAUAUGGGGAGGAACACCGGUGGCGAGGGCGGCUCUCGGGACCGAAACUGACGCUGAGACGCGAAAGCGUGGGGAGCAAACAGGAUUAGAUACCCCGGUAGU